rnacentral:lncRNA from 1 species
AGCUCUUGUGUUUUCAGAAACGAAUUAUUUUCAGGAAUAUUUCUAGUGGGAAAAUACCAAUGAUGAAAUGUUGAUGGAAGAAAUUGAAUGGGACUCAGCAUGAGUACAAAAGGAAGGGGUCUCUUCAAGCAAACUGAUUCUGAGUUGGCAAGAUGUCGAUCCAUACUGAGUAAGAAGAAGGAGCAAUGAUACAUUUUAUGAAGUUUUAAAAUGACAGAUUGUCCAUUCUUACCUAGUUAAGCUUAUAGUGUUACCUACCAAUUAGAGACUUCUCCCUCUGGUACUUACAGCACUUGAGCUAAAUUUUAUCUCUAUUGUCUUGUGGUUCUUUUCUUAUUUAGUCUUGCAUGUUUUUGCUUUCUACAGUCCCAUUUGGGGAAACAUCUGUCCUUUGUGAGGAUGCCAGUACAGUUAUAGCCACUGACACUAUACAUGACCAGAGGCUCCAGUUUCUGGCAUCUCUUUCUAUUCAAUUUCUUCAGAUUAUCUGUAAAUUUUCAAUAAUGGCAAUACAUUCAUUCUGCCAUUUGGAGGAGCCUGUGCCACAGAAUAAUGAUCUGAAGAAAGCUCACUUAUUUGCAAGGAAGAGUCUUCAUUUGGGAAUUAGCACCGAUGCAGCUAAGAGGUGCUUCCUCAAGUUCAGCAGAACUGUUAUUGUUUCACCUCUGGUACAUGGACAAAACUGGGUUUUCUUCAUAGUUCAGGAUUCCUGUACCUGA